rnacentral:rRNA from 3 species
GGUGAGUAACGCGUGGGAACGUACCUUUUGGUUCGGAACAACUGAGGGAAACUUCAGCUAAUACCGGAUAAGCCCUUACGGGGAAAGAUUUAUCGCCGAAAGAUCGGCCCGCGUCUGAUUAGCUAGUUGGUGAGGUAAUGGCUCACCAAGGCGACGAUCAGUAGCUGGUCUGAGAGGAUGAUCAGCCACAUUGGGACUGAGACACGGCCCAAACUCCUACGGGAGGCAGCAGUGGGGAAUAUUGGACAAUGGGCGCAAGCCUGAUCCAGCCAUGCCGCGUGAGUGAUGAAGGCCCUAGGGUUGUAAAGCUCUUUUGUGCGGGAAGAUAAUGACGGUACCGCAAGAAUAAGCCCCGGCUAACUUCGUGCCAGCAGCCGCGGUAAUACGAAGGGGGCUAGCGUUGCUCGGAAUCACUGGGCGUAAAGGGUGCGUAGGCGGGUCUUUAAGUCAGGGGUGAAAUCCUGGAGCUCAACUCCAGAACUGCCUUUGAUACUGAAGAUCUUGAGUUCGGGAGAGGUGAGUG